AGUCCACCUGCGAAAUUUCAUGAAAAUCGGUCAAGUGGUUUCGGAGGAGUUUGGCAACAAAGCCUGCGAAAGAGAAUGUUAUAUAUAUAGAUGUUAAACCACGAAAUUUAAAAAAAAAAUAACGGUUAAAGAUAGAAAAGUGAAAAUAUAGGAUUUUAUGUAUCUUUUGCUUGUGAAUCAUAUACAAUUAAGAAAAAUAGGUUUGUCGAAAAAUAAAAAAAAAUUUUAGGGGGGGCAAAACCCCCUUAUAACGUACGGCUAUGAAAUAUAGAUAAAAACCUACUCCCUGUCCGGUCGAGUCCACCUGCCAAAUUUAAUGAAAAUCGGUCAAGCGGUUUCGGAGGAGUAAGGUAACAAAGCCUGCGAAUUAGAAUUUUAUAUAGAUAGAUGUUAAAGG
rnacentral:lncRNA from 1 species